rnacentral:rRNA from 1 species
AACCUGGUUGAUCCUGCCAGUAGUCAUAUGCUUGUCUCAAAGAUUAAGCCAUGCAUGUGUAAGCACACACUGUUUAAAAGUGAAGCCGCGAAUGGCUCAUUACAACAGCCACAGUUUAUUAGAACUUACAAUCAUGGAUAACUGUGGUAAUUCUAGAGCUAAUACACGCACAAAAACUUCAACUGAAUUGGUUGAAGUGCUUUUAUUAGAACAAAAACCGAACGGCGUUUGACGAAUGUUGAACGUCGAAACUGUUUGGUGAAUCUGAAUAACUAUUUCUGAUCGCAUGGUCUAGCACCGGCGACAUCACUUUCAAGUGUCUGCCUUAUCAACCUUCGAUGGUAGUCUAUGCGACUACCAUGGUGAUAACGGGUAACGGAGAAUCAGGGUUCGACUCCGGAGAGGGAGCCUGAGAAACGGCUACCACAUCCAAGGAAGGCAGCAGGCGCGCAAAUUACCCACUCCCAGCUUGGGGAGGUAGUGACGAAAAAUAACGAGACGAUUCUCGUUUGAGAAACGUUAUCGAAAUGAGUACGCUUUACACACGCUAACGAGUAGCAAUUGGAGGGCAAGUCUGGUGCCAGCAGCCGCGGUAAUUCCAGCUCCAAUAGCGUAUAUUAAAGUUGCUGCGGUUAAAACGCUCGUAGUUGAAUUGUAGUCUUAGACAACAGUCCCCCUACAUAGGUGUGGCACGGUUGCUCGAGAUCUUCAUUCGUGGUUGCUGUUGUUGCUCUUCAUUGAGUGUCAAUGGUGCCUCGAGAUUUUACUUUGAAAAAAUUAGAGUGCUCAAAGCAGGUUGUGAUGCCUGAAUAAUGGUGCAUGGAAUAAUAGAAUACGAUCUCGGUCCUAUUUUGUUGGUUUUCGAACCGGAGAUAAUGAUUGAAAGGAACAGACGGGGGCAUUCGUAUUGCUGCGUUAGAGGUGAAAUUCUUGGAUCGCAGCAAGAUGAACAAUUGCGAAAGCAUUUGCCAAGAAUGUUUUCAUUAAUCAAGAACGAAAGUUAGAGGUUCGAAGGCGAUCAGAUACCGCCCUAGUUCUAACGGUAAACUAUGCCAACCAGCGAUUCGCCGAAGUUCAUUUAAGACUCGGCGAGCAGCUUCCGGGAAACCAAAGUGUUUCGGUUCCGGGGGAAGUAUGCUUGCAAAGCUGAAACUUAAAGGAAUUGACGGAAGGGCACCACCAGGAGUGGAGCCUGCGGCUUAAUUUGACUCAACACGGGAAAACUCACCCGGCCCGGACACUGGAAGGAUUGACAGAUUGACAGCUCUUUCUUGAUUCAGUGGGUAGUGGUGCAUGGCCGUUCUUAGUUGGUGGAGCGAUUUGUCUGGUUAAUUCCGAUAACGAACGAGACUCUACCCUAUUAAAUAGUGACAGUAUUGUAUUUUUUGUGCUGAUCACUUCUUAGAGGGACUGGCAAAUUGAAAGCUGCACGAAAAAGAGCAAUAACAGGUCUGUGAUGCCCUUCGAUGUCCGGGGCUGCACGCGCGCUACAAUGAAAGCGUCAACGUGAGUUACGUCCUUACCUGAAAAGGUUUGGCAAUCGAAUGAAACGUUUUCUUGAAUGGAAUAGGGAAUUGCAAUUGUUUCCCUUGAACGAGGAAUUCCCAGUAAGCGUGAGUCAUUAGCUCGCGUUGAUUACGUCCCUGCCCUUUGUACACACCGCCCGUCGCUACUACCGAUUGGAUGAUUUAGUGAGGUGUUUUGACUGGCGCCAGUAGUCGGAUGUAUUCGGCUUCGCGCCGGGAAAUUUCCCAAACCAAAUCAUCUAGAGGAAGUAAAAGUCGUAACAAGGUUUCCGUAGGUGAACCUGCGGAAGGAUCAUUA